UACAGAGGUCUCAAGCGUUGUUCGGAUUCAUUGGGCGUAAAGGGUGCGUAGGUGGCGGGGUAAGUCAGGUGUGAAAUCUCGGGGCUCAACCCCGAAACUGCACUUGAUACUGCCUUGCUCGAGUACUGGAGAGGAGAUUGGAAUUUACGGUGUAGCAGUGAAAUGCGUAGAUAUCGUAAGGAAGACCAGUGGCGAAGGCGAAUCUCUGGACAGUUACUGACACUGAGGCACGAAGGCCGGGGGAGCAAACGGG
rnacentral:rRNA from 1 species